CAUAAAUCGAUGAAAAGAAGAUUUAAUGUAAAUACGUUUAUAGAGAACUAGUGGUUGGUGAAAACUAGGAAACAAGCAUUAAAUUAACACUUUGAGAGGUAGAAGAAUUAAGUAGACCUACCCGUUUUCCGCGUUAAGGAGUUAAGGGCAGUAUUUUUUUAAUACUGAACUAAGGUGGUACCGCGAUUUGAUCGUCCUUAGA
rnacentral:ncRNA from 1 species